rnacentral:rRNA from 1 species
UACGGGGGGGGCAAGCGUUGUUCGGAAUUACUGGGCGUAAAGGGCUCGUAGGCGGCCAACUAAGUCAGACGUGAAAUCCCCAGGCUCAACCCGGGAACUGCGUCUGAUACUGGAUGGCUUGAAUUCGGGAGAGGGAUGCAGAAUUCCAGGUGUAGCGGUGAAAUGCGUAGAUAUCUGGAGGAAUACCGGUGGCGAAGGCGGCAUCCUGGACCGACAUUGACGCUGAGGAGCGAAAGCUAGGGGAGCAAACGGG